rnacentral:tRNA from 1 species
ACAAAUUAGAGCUUGUUAAAGUAUUUCAUUUACAUUGAAAAGAAAUUAUUAAUUAUAAUUAGUUUGA